rnacentral:rRNA from 1 species
UUUAAAUGUAAAUUGUUAUACUAAAGUAGUAAUAGUUAAGUUCUUUAAAUUUAAAGAUUUUGGCGGUAUUUUAGUCUAUUCAGAGGAACCUGUUCUGUGAUUGAUAAUCCACGAUUAACUUUACUUAAUUUAAUAAUUUGUAUAUCGUCGUUUAUAAAUGAUUUUAAAAGAAUUUAAAUUUUUAAGAUUUUUUAUUAAAAAAUAUAUCAGAUCAAGGUGCAGUUUAUAAUUAAGUAGAAAUGGGUUACAAUAAAUUUAUUUAUACGGAUUAAUAUAUUAAAUUAUGUUAUGAAGGAGGAUUUGAUAGUAAUAAAAUUUAAUUAAAUUUUAUGAUUUUAGCUCUAAAAUAUGU